rnacentral:rRNA from 1 species
AGCGAACGCUGGCGGCAGGCUUAACACAUGCAAGUCGAACGGGCAUCUUCGGAUGUCAGUGGCAGACGGGUGAGUAACACGUGGGAACGUACCCUUCGGUUCGGAAUAACUCAGGGAAACUUGAGCUAAUACCGGAUACGCCCUUUUGGGGAAAGGUUUACUGCCGAAGGAUCGGCCCGCGUCUGAUUAGCUUGUUGGUGGGGUAACGGCCUACCAAGGCGACGAUCAGUAGCUGGUCUGAGAGGAUGAUCAGCCACACUGGGACUGAGACACGGCCCAGACUCCUACGGGAGGCAGCAGUGGGGAAUAUUGGACAAUGGGCGCAAGCCUGAUCCAGCCAUGCCGCGUGAGUGAUGAAGGCCUUAGGGUUGUAAAGCUCUUUUGUCCGGGACGAUAAUGACGGUACCGGAAGAAUAAGCCUCGGCUAACUUCGUG